GGAGAAGUGGCCGAGUGGUUUAAGGCAGCGGUCUUGAAAACCGUCGUGGGUAACUCCCACCGUGGGUUCGAAUCCUACCUUCUCCG
rfam:Leptospira licerasiae serovar Varillal str. VAR 010 7180000002868, whole genome shotgun sequence.